ACGGAGAGUUUGAUCCUGGCUCAGGACGAACGCUGGCGGCGUGCUUAACACAUGCAAGUCGAACGGAAAGGCCCGCUUGCGGGUACUCGAGUGGCGAACGGGUGAGUAACACGUGAGUAACCUGCCCUUGACUUUGGGAUAACUUCAGGAAACUGGGGCUAAUACCGGAUAGGAGCUCCUGCUGCAUGGUGGGGGUUGGAAAGUUUCGGCGGUUGGGGAUGGACUCGCGGCUUAUCAGCUUGUUGGUGGGGUAGUGGCUUACCAAGGCUUUGACGGGUAGCCGGCCUGAGAGGGUGACCGGCCACACUGGGACUGAGACACGGCCCAGACUCCUACGGGAGGCAGCAGUGGGGAAUAUUGCACAAUGGGCGAAAGCCUGAUGCAGCAACGCCGCGUGGGGGAUGACGGCCUUCGGGUUGUAAACUCCUUUCGACAGGGACGAAG
rnacentral:rRNA from 1 species